rnacentral:rRNA from 1 species
CGGAGCUUGCUCUGGGAAAGUUAGUGGCAAACGGGUGAGUAACACGUGGGAAUCUACCCAUCAGUACGGAACAACAUUUGGAAACAGAUGCUAAUACCGUAUAUUCUCGAGAGAGGAAAGAUUUAUCGCUGAUGGAUGAGCCCGCGCAAGAUUAGGUAGUUGGUAAGGUAAUGGCUUACCAAGCCUACGAUCUUUAGCUGGUCUGAGAGGAUGAUCAGCCACACUGGAACUGAGACACGGUCCAGACUCC